GCAAGUCGARCGGAGKAAGGGUAGAUUGCUCCCGGAUGUURGCGGCGGACGGRUGAGUAACACGUGGGUAACCUGCCUGUAAGACUGGGAUAACUCCGGGAAACCGGAGCUAAUACCGGAUAGUUCCUUGAACCGCAUGGUUCAAGGAUGAAAGACGGYUUCSGCUGUCACUUACRGAUGGACCCGCGGCGCAUUAKCUAGUUGGWGGGGUAAUGGCUCACCAMGGCGACGAUGCGUASCCRACCUGAGAGGGUGAUCGGCCACACUGGGACUGAGACACGGCCCAKACUCCUACGGGAGGCAGCRRWAGGGAAUCUUCCGCAAUGGACGAAAGUCUGACGGAGCAACGSCGCGWGAGUGAUGAAGGUUUUCGGAUCGUAWAGCUCUGUUGUUARGGAAGAACAAGUGCGAGAGUAACUGCUCKCACCUUGACGGUACCUAACCAGAAAGCCACGGYUAACUACGUGCCAGCAGCCGCGGUAAUACGKARGUGGCAAGCGUUGUCCGGAAUUAUUGGGCGUARAGGGCUCGCAGGCGGUUUCUUAAKUCUGAUGUGAAAGCCCCCGGCUCAACCGGGGAGGGUCAUUGGAAACUGGGAAACUUGAGUGMAGAAKAGGARAGUGGAAUUCCACGUGUAGCGKKGAAAUGCRUAGAGAUGUGSAGGAACACCAGUGGCGAAAGGAUUAGAUMCCSUGGUAGUCCACGCCGUAAACGAUGAGUGCUAAGUGUUAGGGGGUUUCCSCCCCUUAGUGSUGCAGCUAACGCAUUAAGCACUCCGCSUGGGGAGUACGGUCGCAAGACUGAAACUCAAAGGAAUUGRCGGGGGCCCGCACAAGCGGUGGAGCAUGUGGUUUAAUUMGAAGCAACGCGAAGMACCUUACCAGGUCUUGACAUCCUCUGACAACCCUAGAGAUAGGGCUUUCCYUUCGGGGACAGAGUSACAGGUGGUGCAUGGUUGUYGUCAGCUCGUGUCGUGAGAUGUUGGGUUAAGUCCCGCAACGAGCGCAMCCCUUGAUYUUAGUUSCCAGCAUUCAGUUGGGCACUCUAAGGUGACUGCCGGUGACAAACCGGAGGAAGGUGGGGAUGACGUCAAAUCAUCAUGCCCCUUAUGACCUGGGCUACACACGUGCUACAAUGGACAGAACAAAGGGCUGCAAGMCCGCAAGGUUUAGCCAAUCCCAUAAAUCUGUUCUCAGUUCGGAUCGCAGUCUGCAACUCGACUGCGUGAAGYUGGAAUCGCUAGUAAUCGCGGAUCAGCAUGCCGCGGUGAAUACGUUYCCGGGCCUUGUACMCMCCSCCCGUCACACCACGAGAGUUUGCAACMCCCGAAGUCGGURAGGUAACCUYUAKGGAGCCAG
rnacentral:rRNA from 1 species